GUGACGGUACCUACAAAAGAAGCACCGGCUAACUAUGUGCCAGCAGCCGCGGUAAUACAUAGGGUGCAAGCGUUGUCCGGAAUUAUUGGGCGUAAAGAGCUCGUAGGUCGUUUGUUACGUCGGAUGUGAAAACCUGAGGCUCAACCUCAGGCCUGCAUUCGAUACGGGCAAACUAGAGUUUGGUAGGGGAGACUGGAAUUCCUGGUGUAGCGGUGGAAUGCGCAGAUAUCAGGAGGAACACCAAUGGCGAAGGCAGGUCUCUGGGCCAAUACUGACACUGAGGAGCGAAAGUCUGGGGAGCGAACAGGAUUAGAUACCCUGGUAGUCCAGACCGUAAACGGUGGGCACUAGUUGUGGGAACCUUCCACGGUUUCUGCGACGCAGCUAACGCAUUAAGUGCCCCGCCUGGGGAGUACGAUCGCAAGAUUAAAACUCAAANGAAUUGAC
rnacentral:rRNA from 1 species